rnacentral:rRNA from 1 species
UCGAGCGGACCGAUGGGAGCUUGCUCCCUGAGGUUAGCGGCGGACGGGUGAGUAACACGUGGGUAACCUGCCUGUAAGACUGGGAUAACUCCGGGAAACCGGGGCUAAUACCGGAUGCUUGAUUGAACCGCAUGGUUCAAUCAUAAAAGAUGGCUUCGGCUAUCACUUACAGAUGGACCCGCGGCGCAUUAGCUAGUUGGUGAGGUAACGGCUCACCAAGGCGACGAUGCGUAGCCGACCUGAGAGGGUGAUCGGCCACACUGGGACUGAAACACGGCCCAGACUCCUACGGGAGGCAGCAGUAGGGAAUCUUCCGCAAUGGACGAAAGUCUGACGGAACAACGCCGCGUGAGUGAUGAAGGUUUUCGGAUCGUAAAACUCUGUUGUUAGGGAAGAACAAGUACCGUUCGAACAGGGCGGUACCUUGACGGUACCUAACCAGAAAGCCACGGCUAACUACGUGCCAGCAGCCGCGGUAAUACGUAGGUGGCAAGCGUUGUCCGGAAUUAUUGGGCGUAAAGCGCGCGCAGGCGGUUUCUUAAGUCUGAUGUGAAAGCCCCCGGCUCAACCGGGGAGGGUCAUUGGAAACUGGGGAACUUGAGUGCAGAAGAAGAGAGUGGAAUUCCACGUGUAGCGGUGAAAUGCGUAGAGAUGUGGAGGAACACCAGUGGCGAAAGCGACUCUCUGGUCUGUAACUGACGCUGAAGCGCGAAAGCGUGGGGAGCGAACAGGAUUAGAUACCCUGGUAGUCCACGCCGUAAAACGAUGAGUGCUAAGUGU